rnacentral:sRNA from 1 species
GCUGGGCUUGGUGAGCAAGCCUGUAAUCCCAGGACUCCUGAGGCUAAGACAGGAGGAUCAAAGGUUCAAGGUCAGCCUCAGCAAAUUAUUGAGGCUGUAAGCAACUUAGUGAGACCCUGUCUCAA